rnacentral:lncRNA from 1 species
GUAGCUGGGACCACAGGUGUGCACCAUCACGCCCAGAGUCGGGGGUCUCCCUAUGUUUCCCAGGCUGGCCUCGAACUCCUGACCUCAAGUGAUCCUCCCACCUCAGCCUCCCCGAGUGCUGGGAUUAAAGACGUGAGCCACGGCACCUGGCCUGAAUUUUCCUCAAAUUCAAAAAAUCCUGAUGAAGGUUUGGCUAAAAUCUUUGGUGAGUUACCCCACUCCCUGUGGAACCUCAGGCUGGAUUUGAAGAGUUGCGUGCAUGGUCCUCAUUGUCUCCCAGGUAACCUGUUCCCGCUGCUGUGAAGGGAAGGCAGGUGCUCUUCCUUGAGGCUAGAAUCUGUCUACGUGUCACAGUCUCAGGAAAUUAAGCAAAACAGAUGAUAAACACCUCAAAAGGACCCUACUGAGCAUCAGUGGAGCAGAGCAGGGCCAUGUGGGACUGCGGCGUCAGAUGCCACCUCACACUAGCUGUGACACACCUGCCUCGCCAGUUUCUGCUCUGAGGCCCCAAAGCCGAGCUGAACCUCCUCCAGGGGUUCUCAGCCCUAACUGAGCAUGAAAACCCCUGGGGCAAUCCUCUUUUUAACAAUUGAGACAUUCCACACACACCCCACAUCAGAUUUUGGGGUGUGGGGAUAGACCUUCACAUUUGUAGUUUUCUAACCCUCCAGGGGACACUAGGCUGAGACUCAUUGGUCUCCACUCUGAACCUUCCACUGAACAUGUGAGAAAAACUAAGGCCCAGGGAAGUCUUUAGCAGAGAGCUGAGACGGAGAAAAGGGUUCUGAACCACAGCUGUCUGCUGAAGGAAGCUGUCCAAAGGCCAGUGAAGUCUCUCCUGAGGGUGCCUGGGCUGUGCAUCAGGAGUGAAGGUUGAGGGUCACCUUAGGUGUGAGAAGGAGCAACUGGGAGAGUGGCGCUGAUGCUUCCCCCCGGGUUAGGAGGCAUUUGGAUCACAGAGCGAUGCCUGUUCAUUCCUGCUUGCAAGGGAGCAGAUCUCUCGACACCCGAUGGGCCUCUAUUCCGUUCCGGCAGCUGUCCGUGUCAGGAGCGCUGGGCUUGCUCCUCCCCACGGGAGCCAUCACAGAGGCCUCGGGCAGUCUGCAUAGACAACUGCCUGGCAGGUGACCAGGAGGGGAUGCAUGAGCAGAUGCAGGUAGCACUCGCAGUCCCCCUAGCUGUGCCCUCAGCACCUGCUGUCUAGGAGGCAGAAGCCUUGUUCUCGGCCUUGCAGGUGACCCCAGUGUCUCUGAAUUCGGCCCCAUAUGUGUAGGAGGGGAGUGAUUGCAUCUGAAGAUGGGAGUCUGGUUGGGGGUUUGGGAAGCUCCCAUCACCCCUCAAGAGUCCACUGACCAGCCCAGCUCACACCAGGUGGGCCUUGGCACUGGAGGCCACGGCUCAACUCUGCAGUUCCCUCUGGGCAGCAUUUCCAGGGACUCGUAGGUCAGCAUGGUCAUCAAGGACAGGUGGUGAGAGCAGCUCCUCAUUGUCCUGGUGACCCCGAUGGUUCAUUUUCUGGUGUCUCUGUGGUGAGCUCCUGUUACAUCAAGCGAGUGGAAACCACCGAGGACCAACAGCCCUGGAAAUGCACUGAGAAUGCAGGAUGAGUGGGCUUUGUGAGGACUGUUUUCUGUGACUUAGCAAGGAAAGCCUGGAAGGGAAAGUAAAACUGCUUCUUCCCAGGGAAGCCAGAAACCUGAGAACUUAAAAGGGAAGGAGAACUUAAUAUAUUUCAAAAAUGUAACCCUUGUGAAUUAGCAACAGCUUUAUAAACAAAGAGAUUUCCGAGCUUAUAGAAUCUAUUCUGCUUUGUUUCUGCCCCCAUGGCUCCUACCCCUGUUUUUGUGGGUACAAUUUUCAUAUAGAACAUUUUUACACAAGCUUCAAAACUCUCUGAGGACAGCUUUCCCCUUUGUGUCUGUCGGGUCCCAGGCAGUCACAUCCCAGGAAGUGCUGGGGUUGGGCUCCUUGCUCCACAUCCUUCUUCAGUGGCACGAAGCGUGGGGUGGAGUGUGUGAGUCAUGUGUGAUCUUGGUGUGGGCUAUGGCUGGUCUGCAGCACCCCUUCAAUGACUGCUUCAAGGGCUUUUCAUGAUGCUUGUAGCUCAUGAGCUAGUGUUUCCUAGAUGCUGUUUCCAGGUGUCUUGCAUGUCACACACUGGCCUACCAGGGCUGGAGUGAGAUCAUGAGCGCCAGAUUGUUGGUGAAGGAAGUUGACAGAGACAUCGAAUGUCGGUGAACAGGAGUGACCUUGGGUCUCAAUAAAUACUGUGGUCAACUGAAUCCAGAACCCACCCUUACCAGCAGGGCCCACUUCUUCCCCAGCAGGCCGAGCUCUUCCCCUCCUGUCUUCCCUGGCCCUUGCUUUGUAGCUCUGUGUGGCUGUGUCAUGUCUGGUUGUAUCUGUAUAUACUUCUGCCUCUCCCGCUAUCUAGAUGGCUCGGGGAGGCACACCACACACCAGGUCACCUUCCUCUCUGAACCCCCAGCACCUCAUACUGUUUCUGUGCAGAGAUAAGGCUGGGUGAAAGCUUGUGUGAAUGAUCUGAAGUCUUCUACUCUAGGCCAGUCUCCAGGAGCAUUAUGAUCUUUAGGAGGGUGGGCUUGGUUCCUCUGUACAAUAAUGGGUCAUAAAACUGAGUGGUCAAGAUCAUCCCGGUGAGGGCAGUCCGUGUGUUGCCAUAGUUGCUGUACCGGUUAAGAAUGCACCUGGCUGCAAUUUCCUGAAAACCUGACGUAUAGUGGCUUAAACAAAGAGUGGUUUAUUUUCCUUCUGUCAUAGCAAUCUGGGGGAGGCCACUGUGGCUUUGGCGCAGGAGGUCGGGAAAGGCCCGCUUCUCUGAUAUCAUUGGGGGCCUCCCCAGUGCUUGUGUGGCAGAAUGACAAGAGGAAGAAGAAGGAGAAUUAUGGCACUGAGUAUCAUGAGAUUUGGGGUCAUAUAUCUUUAGUGGGCGGUGUUUGCUGCCCCAAAUGUCUCAUGCCAUUAAAAUGUUCUGGAAAUGAUUUAGGUAGUUGGAGUUUCCUUCCCAAAGACAAGGCAUUUACAGCAUGAUGUCCAAUAUCCAUUGAGUUUGUGUCAUGCAUUCAUUGUAUUCAUAGUCUGCUUUAGGUACUUAGCAAAAUAUUGCUGAUAUUAACAUGCCUUUGUUUGCUUCACUGGAGAUGAAAUUGUGCUCCAAGUGUUUUCCAAGGUUCCGUAUGACCCAUCAUUUGAUGAAACAAGAACAGCAGUCAGAUCCAUUACAAAGAGAGACACACAAAAAAACUAUGUGAAAAUGAGCUUAGCCCCUGGUGUUGUGUUGGAACUUCAGAUGCUUGCAGACACUUCAUGAAUGCUCUGUGACACUCAGAAUAGGCUAUUCCCAACAGAAGAGCUUGAACAAUGCUGCAUUUGCAUCAGGUUCAAAUGAGCGAGAGGAACAUUUGGCUAAAAUAUUUGGAACCAGCAUUGCUUGGAAUUCUCCUAAACCAGAAUAUUUCCUUGGCAGUGUGGACAAAAUUCCUGAUAAAGAUCACCUUUCAGAGGAGAAGAAUUUUAAAGAAUCCUGUCUGUUCGACAGGGAUUUAAGAGAGCAGUUAACUACUAUAGAUAAAGAAACACUUCAAGGAGCAGCUAAACCAGAUGCUCACUUUAGGACUAUGCCCUGCGGGCAGCUUCUGCACUUCCUGCAGAGGAACACCAUCAUCGCCGCCGUCUCAGGGGUGGCCAUCCUCAUGGCCAUCGUGCUGUUGCUGCUUGGGUUGGCCUCAUACAUCAGGAAGAAACAGCCAUCAUCUCCUCUGGCAAACACGACAUAUAAUAUUUUUAUAAUGGAUGGAAAGACAUGGUGGCACAAUUCUGAAGAAAAAAAUUUCACAAAACUUGCAAAAAAACAGAAACAGUUGAAGAGCAGCUCCUGUGUCUAAGCCAGGUCGUGGGGCCGUCAAACCAGGACUUGAAACCACAAUGCGAGGACAUUCUCCAUCUGCGCACCACAGGGAGGCAAUUCCAUUUCUGCCCGGGAGGUGUAUUCUACAAAAACGUCUGCUUCCCAUCCCAAUUUGAAUGGACCAAGAAAAACUGCUUUACCAUAGGACACUUGUGGCAAUAUGGCACCGAUGGCUGGCGUCGGUGAACCCGACAGACUAUGGAUUUAUCAUUUAAUAAAGCAUUGAUUCAUUUUUUCAGUCAUUCAUUGAACAGAUAUUAAUAGACCACCUCACAUGCUGACAAUAUCAAAAUACAAUGAGGAAACUAACAGUGACCCAGGCAUGCAUUCUUCCCCGAGCAAGAUCACAGUCCAUGGUGUGAGCACAACCAUACUAAAUAGCUUUUAUGGGAGGUGGGAGUACAGAAAGUAUUAUAUCUGCAAAGAAACUGCUAAGAAUUGUGGGAGCGCCCCAGGAGGUGAUUUCCUGCUUGCGUGACCAGCACAAAGAAAUGGGGUAAUUGAGAGUGUCAUGAAGUGGGGUUAUUUAUUUAUUGAGUCGGAGUCUUGCUCUGUCACCCAUGCUGGAGUGCAGUGGCGUGAUCUCAGCUCACUGCAACCUCCGCCUCCCGGGUUCAAGCGAUUCUCCUGCCUCAGCCUCCCGAGUAGCUGGGAUUAUAGGUGCGUGCCACCACACCCAGCUAAUUUUUGUAUUUUUAGUAGAGAUGGAGUUUCACCAUGUUGGCCAGGCUGCUCUCAAACUCCUGACCUCAGGUGAUCCCCCCGCCUUGGCCUCUCAAAGUGCUGGGAUUAUAGGCAUGAGCCACCAUGCCCGGCCCAUAGAAGUUUUCAGUUCAUUUAUGCACAGUUUAAGCUGAGAAUGUGAAAGGCUAAACUCAUCCCUUUCUUUCCCCACUUUCUCCAGCAACCAGCCAAUAUCAUACUCCUCAGUUUAAUUAAAAUGUUCUCAGAUAUCAUCAAACACGUGGGCACCCAGAACCUUGCCUUUUAUAUGUGUUUGAUUGAGAGUAUCCAAUGGUAAUAUUUUGUAUAUCUCUAUUGCCACAUCAUGCCAUGGAGUACCUAAAUGCCCUCUUGGCCACUGGAAAUAGAUUUAAGAUUCUGUUCCUCUCUUCUAGUACCAAAAUUUGGAUGAGUCAGGGUCCCAUGAGAGAAACAGAACUAGUAGGAGGAUAUAUAGAGUAGUAAGAGAUUUUUUUAACUUUUAAUUUUUGUGGGUACAUAGUAGGGGUAUGUAUUUAUGGGGUACACGAGAUAUUUUGAUACAGGCAUGCCAUGCAUAAUAAUCACGUGAGGGUGAAUGGAGUAUCCAAAACCUGGUGCAUUUAUCCUUCAUGUUAUAAACAAUCCAAUUAUGUUCUUUUAGUUAUUUUUAAGGUGCAAUUAAAUUACUAUUGACUGUGGUCCCCCUACUGUGCUAUCAAAUACUAGGUCUUAUUCAUUCUUUUAUUUUUUGUACCUAUUAACCAUCCUUACAUCUCCCCCACCCCCACUACUCUUCCCAGCCUCUGGUAACCACCCUUCUACUCUCUAUCUCCAUGAAUUCAAUUGUUUUAAUUCUUAGCUCUCAGAAAUGAUGAGCGCAUGCAAAGUUUGUCUUUCUGUGCCUGGCUUAUUUCACUCAACAUAAUGACUUCCAGUUCCAUCUAUGUUGGUGCAAAUGACCAUUUUUUGAAUGGCUGAAUAGUACUCCAUUGUGUAAAUGUACCACAUUUCCUCAUCCAUUCAUCUGUUGAUAGACUGUUGUUAGGUUGUUUCCAGAUCUUGGCUAUUGUGAAUAGUGCUGCAAUAAACAUGAGAGUGCAGAUAUCUCUUUUAUACACUGAUUUCCCUUCUUUUGAGUAUAUACACAGCAGUGGGAUUGCUGGAUUGUAUGGUAGCUCUAUUUUUAGUUUUUUGAGGAACCUCCAAACUGUUCUCCAUAGUGGUUGUACUAACGUACAUUCCAUACAUUAGCAAUAAUGUAUGAGAGUUCCCUUUUCUCCACAUCCUCGCCAGCACUUGUUAUUGCCUAUCUACUGGAUAUAAGGGACAAUUCUUCUCUAGAGCCUCUGAGGGGCCUGCAGCCCUGCUAACACCUCGGUUUCAGACUCUGGCCUCCAGAAUGUGACAGAAUAAAUUUUUGCUGUUUUAAGCCACUCGGUUUGUGGUUGUUAUGGCAGCCCUGGGAAAUGAAUACAUGGCCACACAAUCUUUUUC